UUAUUUCUGAUUUUCCAGCGUCGGAUGACACUCAAAAGUCCCACAGAUUGAGGCAUAGAAUACAUAAAUCGUCUGGGUCAUCUCAUAGGACUAUGAGCAUAUCUCUCUCCUGUGACUCGCAGUCUAAGGGGUAUGUUUCUACUCCUCGUGGGUCGAUGGUAUGUGACAUUUAUCUAAUCUUAGUUUUAGCCUUUGUGCCAUCCAGCUUUCAUGUGAAACAAUAGUGACAAACAUGUUCUUGGAUUUGUAGGUGGAUGCCAUACCCAACCCAUCAAAAGAGCAAUUAGUAGAUGUUGUUCAGAGGCAUUUCAUGUCACAGCAAAUCGGCGAGUUGCAAGUCAUUGUGGGAUUUGUUCAGGCUGCAAAGAGAAUGAAGACUCUGUGCAAAUGACGAUUCACGAAGAGAGAAAUGAAGAGCUAUGAAUUUGGUUGUUUAUGCUAACAGAUACUGCACUUAAAAAAUAUCCACUCCCCUCUAGUGAUUGUCUGUAAUAUAUUUUAUCCAGUGGCUUGUCUCUGUCUUGCUUUAGUAGGUUA